GCCUACGGGGCGCAGCAGUAGGGAAUCUUCGGCAAUGGGCGAAAGCCUGACCGAGCAACGCCGCGUGAAUGAAGAAGGCCUUCGGGUUGUAAAAUUCUGUUCUACUUGAAGAAAUUUUAUAGGAGGAAAUGACUAUCAAUUGACGGUACCUUAUGAGAAAGCCACGGCUAACUACGUACCAGCAGCCGCGGUAAUACGUAGGUGGCAAGCGUUAUCCGGAAUUAUUGGGCGU
rnacentral:rRNA from 1 species